GGGCCAUACCUGCAGCAUGUGGAGGUUCCCAGGUUAGGGGUCUAAUCGGAGCUGUAGCCGCUGGCCUACGGCAAUGCCAGAUCCUUGACCCAAUGAGCGAGGCCAGGGAUCGAACCCACCACCUCACGGUUCCUAGUCAGAUUCAUUAACCACUGCACCACGAUGGGAACUCCGACUCUAUUUUAUUUGUUUUUGCAAUUCUAACACGGUGCUAGCACUAUACCUUUUUUUUCUUUUUUAUUGAAUGAUUUAGGCUUGCCCUUCCAUUUUGGAUUGCUGAUAUAUUCUUUAGCAUCUUGGAAAAAGAAUGCACUGUAAAAAAUUGAUCUCUUCGCUGAUAGGAACAUGAGCUCGUUAUAUUCCCGUCCCCCCAGUAUAGAUGGUUAUAUAGAAGAUAUACCUUAAUAUUACCUCAAAAUUGGCCUUUUGAGGUACUAAGGGUGGAGGGAAGGAAUAAUGAGAAUAUUAUGUGGUACAUCAAACCUAUGCAUGCCCCCCCACACCAAAACGUAUGGCCUGCUGAUAAGCUGCACAAUGAUGGCCACAGCUUCUCUUCAGGGUAGCAUGGGGACAAAAGUGUAUGGCUUAAAGAUGGCUAAAGAUAUAGACUGAAGUGGACAUUUGGAUGGCUAAAGAUACAGACUCAAGUGGACAUUUAUAAUUUCUUUAGCCAUUGAGCAUCCAAACUCCCAUUUGAGGGAAAUUUCCCAUUAAGUGAGUCUUAAUGAACACUAUGGCUCUAACUCCCUUUCCCACAGCCCAGUUAGCCAGACACCUCCUCUUCCCAACCACAGCAGUGAGGGCAGGAGCAUAAAACCUAGGUUUGGCAGAUCAGACUUGGGAAUUUGAAUCUAAAGUGAAUCAUUUGAAGGGUAAGGAAGGUUAAAACACAUUCCCAGGAGCCAGUGGUUACAGGAUGGCUUCUAGCAGUAUUUUCACCCUUGGCGGGGUCACCAGAAGUAUCCUAACCAAACUUGCAUGUAACCUUGUUAUGAUUCCUACAGUCUGUUAGCCUUUGGUUCCUGCCUGUUUUUUCAGCCUGGUUCUUCAGUCUUCCUGUUGAUUCUAUGAGCUAUUUGAUAUUCUGCCAAUAAAUUCCUUUCCUGCUAAAAUUAGUCAGUUUCUAUUGCUUGUGACCAAGAACUUCAUCUUAAUACUGCUUUCCUUAAAGUGUUUUGUGUUUACUCAAUAAGUAGUUGUUGAAUGAUCAAGUGGCUAUCAUUUUUUACUCCUUGACCAAGUACGUUUUCUGUGGGAACAUAUCUCUAUUUAACAUAAGACAGAAGAACAUUCAUUUUAUUGAAUAUUAAUAAACAUUUCCUGGAAAAUGUAAGUUUUAGAAGACAAAUGAUACCAAUCAAAAAUGUGCAGGGCAGCAGUAAGUUUGGGGGGCCUCUGGCACAAUCCCAUGGAGGUUGGGGAGGAAAACACAGGAUUGACAUCCCUAAACCUAUCCUAAGCCAAAUCCUUCCUCCUAAGGGAAGGUUGGCUUAUAUUUCAGUCUGGUAUUUGUUCACUGAGCCUUAUCCACAAUGAAACCCAAGGUGGCAAGCCUCUCACGGGCUUUACUCAGCCCUAAAAGCUUAUGCUCAAGUCUCAGGUUGUGAGGAUGUUCGGAGAAGGCUAAAGCGAAAUGUUGGCUUCAGCAUUUGAGGCUGGAACAGUCUGGUACUCUAGGAAUUUGGGUGUACUGUGAAAGUUUUGCUGCUUAUUGUUCUUUCUUCUUCCCUUUUAUUUUCUCCCCUUUUCCACAGCACAAGUUAUAAUUGAUUUUUAAUGGUUUUGAUGAUUUUUUUUGCUUCCAAUUUUGUAUCUUAUUUCAUUACAUUUAUUUAUGGGAGGUUUUAUCUCAUAACUUGACAUUGUUUACAUUUUAUCUUCCCAAUGCUAUUUUUAUAAAAAGUACUAAUAUAUUGAUUGAAUCUGUAGAUUUGGUGAUGUAAGAAAACUUUUUCAAAAUGGAUCUACAAAGGUUAAUGCUAAAAAAAAUGGUUAAAUGUUUAUCUCUGAAAUUUACUGACUGUAACUGAAAAAAACUAUUAUUGUGUAAAUAAAGCUUGCCAAAUGUCAAAGGAAUAAUGAUCUUACAUGUAACUUACAUAUGUCACAUAUUAUCUACCUAUAAUUCAUUUGUAGUUUUUUUACUGCUCUGAAUAGCAAUUCCUAGUAAGGUUUCUGAAAACAUCUAGGAAAUCUUCCAUCUUGCAUGCAUAUAACAUUGAAAUUUAACUUUCAUGUGAUUCAUAGGUAUUAUGUUUUAGAAUAACAUUAUACAGCUCCGCAGUUGUUUUGCUAUUAAAGCAUUCUUAACUGAUUUCCAUAUCAAUUGAUUCUACACCUUGUUGUAAUGUAAAUAAUCCCUAAACAUCUAGUAAACUAGUAUUUGUUCUUUAGUAAACAGCUCUAUCAGUGACUUUCUCAAAGACACAGGAAGGCUUAUUUACAUUAUCAAUACCAAUGUCUGUCUGACUGACUGUUUACAUAUCUUUUUUACGGGAAAGCUUUGGUUGAUGUAGCCUUUAACACGACACAGCCUCAUAACAUGCUCAGGCUAAAAAGUUUUUUCUGCUUAUUUGUCUGGGCUCUUGCUGACUAAAGACUCAAGUCUAUUAAGGAAGACUUCAUUAUAUUUCCUACAUCUAGCACAGUGCCUGGCACAUACUAGAUUCUUGAUAAAUUUGUGAAAGGAAUGGACAAAUGUUAAAAGGCUUAAGAGUUUCCAUUUUCCACAGAGGGAGCCAGUAGGAUGUAAACCUACUGUGAUGGUUAAUUUUAUGUGUCAACUUGAUAGGACUAAGAGAUACCUAGAUAGCUGAUAAAGCAUUGUUUCUGGGUGUGUCUCUGAGGGUGUUUCUGGAAGAGAUUAGCAUUUUAAUCUAUAGACUGUGUAAAGAUCACCCUCACCUGAAUAGUACAAAAAAGCAGAGGAAGGGCAAAUAUGCUUCUUCUGCUUUAGCUGGAAGAUGCAUCUUCUCCUUAGCCUCCAGCCCACUGGUUCUUGGGCCUUUGAACUUGGACUGGGACUUAUAUCAUUGGCCCUCCUGGUUCCCAGGUUUUGGAUUUGGACUAGAACUACACCAUGGCUUCCGGAGCUUCCAGCUUUCAGAAGGUAUAUCGUGGGACUUCUCAGCCUCCAUAAUCUUGUGAGCCAAUCCCUUAUAAUAAAUUUCUUUCUACAUAUCUAUAUAUCCUAUUGGUUGUUUCUCUGGAGAGGACUGACUGAUACACCCACUUAUUUGAAACUCAGGUAUCCUUGAGGUUCCCACUUUACUUUAGCCUGGCUCCUUUACUCAUAGUCUAGAAGUACUGCUGGCACUCUCCUAGUUCCAAAGUGCCAAUUUCAGAUCAUUUUAUUUUCCUAUCAAACAAAAUUUCUUUUGAGUUUCUUCUAUACCAACCUAACUAUACCAUUUUCUACCCUUUUCAUCGCCAUUUUUUUAAUUAUCCACAUUCAUCUAGGUUUUGUGUACCACACUCACUGUAUUUCUCUCUAACUGAACUCCUACAAAAAUUUAAGGCCUUCAUGAAUGACCCUCAUAGUUCUGUGGUCUAUUCAAAGCUUAUGGCUUCACUUCUCUCAACUUCAGCAACCUACCUUGCACUGAUUUCUUGGGCUUAUCUUUACCUGGAACUAACUGAAAUACAUGGAAUCUCACAUAUCAAUAUCUUCCUCUCUAAACAUACCCUCUUAUUCUGCCAGUCCUCUCCUAUUUCUGCAAACCUACCCUCUUACUGACACCAUGAUGAUCUUUAGUCCCUUGAUUCCUCCCUCUCCUUUUUCAACUGUUAGCCCUCUCUUAGCAUCACUUCCUUACCACUCAGUUCAGGUCCUGUGUUUUUUUUUUAUCAUUCUCCUAUGAGCAACCACAAUUUAUCCCACACUUUCAGAGUUCCCAUAGUGGCUCAGUGGAAACGAAUCUGUCUAGUAUCCAUGAGGACGCAGGUUCGAUCCCUGGCCUUCCUCAGUGGGUUAAGCAUCCAGUGUUGCUGUGAGCUGUGGUGUAGGUCACAGAUGUGGCUCAUUUCUGGCAUUGCUGUGGCUGUGGCAUAGGCUGGCAGCUGCAGCUCCAAUUCAACCCCUAGCCUGGGAACCCCCAUAUGCUGAAUCCUGCAUAUGGAGGUUCCCAGGCUAGGGGUCAAAUUGGAGCUGUAGUUGCUGGCCUAGCCACAGCCACAGCCACACCAGAUCCGAGCCUUGUCUGAGGCCUAUACCACAACUCAUGGUAACUCAGGAUCUUUAACCCACUGAGGAAAGCCAGGGAUUGAACCUAUGUCCUCAUGGAUACUAGUCAUAUUCAUUUCUGCUGAGCCAAGAUGAGAACUCCCUGUAUCCUCAAAUCUUAUAUAUUCUUUCUCAGCUUCUCUUAUAUCUGUUAAAGACUAUCACAAACUUUUUUUUUAAUGGCUGCACCUGCAGCACAUGGAAGUUCUCAUGUUAGGAGUGGAAUCAGAGCUAGGGCUGCCAGCCUACACCACAGCCACAGCAGUGCCAGAUAAGAGCUUCGUUCGUGAUCUACACUGAAGCUUGCCGCAAUGCCAGAUCCUUAACCCACUGACUAAGGCCAGGGAUGGAACCUGGAUCUUCACAGACAUUAUGUCAGGUUCUUGACCUGCUGAGCCACAACAGGAACUCCCAAAGGCUAUCACAAACUUUUACUGUUUUUUUUUGGAAGCUUCUCCUCACUUUCUCUGCUAACUUUCCAUUUCACAGAGUAAGUAGAAGCUAACAGAAGUGAACUUGAUUCAUCCUCCACAGCACUUCUUCCCUUCCCAAUACAAAGGCAUCUGUUUCCAUUCCUAGCACAUCUUUCUCCUCUGCCCUCCUUCUUGUUAAUGCAAAUUAGUAUUUAGGAUUCAACCCUUUCCUUCCUCCUUGGGGACUGUGUUGUUUAAAUUUUCUUUUUCUUUUUGGUUUUUGGCCUAUAGACUAGAUCAAAUCACACCCAUUUAAAAAGUAAAGUAUCAGAGUUCCCGUCGUGGCGCAGUGGUGAACGAAUUCGACUUAGGAACCAUGAGGUUGCGGGUUCGAUCCCUGGCCUUGCUUGCUCAGUGGGUGAAGGAUCUGGUGCUGCCAUGAGCUGUGGUGUAAGUUGCAGACGCAGCUCGGAUCCCACGUUGCUGUGGCUCUGGUGUAGGGUGGCCGCUACAGCUCCGAUUGGACUCCUAGCCUGAGAACCUCCAUAUGCCAUGGGAGUGGCCCAAGAAAUGGCAAAAAGACCAAAAAAAAAAAAAAAAAAAAGNAUGAGGAUUUGGGUUUGAUCCCUGGCCUCACUCAGUGGGUUAACAUUGCUGUGGCUGUGGUGUAAGCUGGCAGCUGUAGCUCCAAUUGGACUCCUAGCCUGGGAACUUCCAUAUGCCUCGAAUGUGGCCCAAAAAACAAAAAACAAUAAACCAGAAAAAAAAAAGUACCAAAAUAUUUUUCCUUGGUUCUAAUUCUCUGCUACCUGCCACCGGAAUCUUUUCCUUCUCUUCACUGAAAACAUUUAGGUCUCCACCUCUUUUGUUGUUUAUUUAAAGACUUAUCUACCUUGUAAUCCAUCAAGAAUUGACUUAGACCACUACUACCUAAACGGCUUUGCUAAGUGAUCAGUGUCUUCUUAAUUCCCAAGUCCAGUGGUUGCCUUUCAUUAUUUAUCUUUUGUGAUUUCUUUGCAUUAUUUUUGAUAGUUAGCCACUCUCUGGAAGCUCUCUCAUUGUUGUUUUUAUUAUACUAAUCAUUCCUGUCCCCAUCCUAAUUCUCUUAGAAUCCUGUGGGCCCUUCUACCUACUUUUAAAAUGUUGAUAUUCUCUAAUAUUUCACCCUCAGAUCUCUUCUUUUCUCACUGUAUAUACCCUCCCUUGAAUAGUGCCUUCUAUGACCAUGGCUGUACCUAUCACAUGUGUAUGAGUAAUACCCAAAUACAGGAGAGUGAUUUUUUCCUAUGGAAACUAGAAUUUAAAGCAAGGCAAAAAUAGAGUAGAGUUAAAAUUACCUUUGAAAAAUCUCUUCUAAAAUACUGUAUACAUGAUUUUGAAUAUAUAUAUAUAAUCAAUCAAGAAAUCCCACACAGCCAGUUUUCUUCUGCUAUUGGAACAGAAGGUUGUUUCUUGAGUUGAGCACCAGAUGAAGUUGUUGGCUUGCAUUUAAGGGGCCAUGUUAUAAGAAAAAUGUUUUUGUUUUUUUGCCAAGCACAUAUAGUAGACUUAAUAUGCUAAGUAAGCGCAGGAGAUAUCCAAAGUAUUUCUCUUCAGCCUGAC
rnacentral:lncRNA from 1 species